GAGAGUUUGAGUUUCAGUCCCUAAAGCCAGGGGCAAGUUUUUCAAGAGACCCAUAGUGCAAGGCCACAUUGUGGACUAUGUAACUUCAGCUAAUUUCUUGCAAAUCAAUCAAAGCAUAUGGACUAUAUUUUAAUUCUACAGACAUUGUGUUAGGCAGAACAGCUACCAACACCCAAUCCCUGAAAUUUGUGAUUAUGUUUUGAUACAUGGCAAAAGGAACUAUGCAGAUGUAAUUAAGGUUAAGAACUUUAAAAUAGGAAGAUUAAAUCCAACGAGUUCUUCAAAGUAAAGAACUACUACAUGCAGAAGGUGAGAAACUCCAGUGUUGGAACCUGGCCUUCAAUGUUGUCAUGCCAAGAUUGGGAAGAAAUAACAGAGAGUGCUUGAAGAAUAGAUGUGGCUAGGACAAUAUCUCUGAAUCUCUGAAUGGCCCAUGGUGGUGACCCCCAGCCAGAGUGAACUGUGCAGCAGCAAUGGUGCCCAGUGGGCAGCAACAGUGGAACAGAAGGAAGAUGGAGAAAAAAGAACACUGACAACUCUCCCAAGCAGCACCAUUUCAAAAAACAUUUACAAGAUAGUGGAUGUGGUGGUGACAACUGAGGAAAGAGCACAGAGACAAAAUCAGAAGCUUGUUGAACUCCUUCUCUCUCUCCUACCAACCUGGAACCGAGGGCUUUUAUAUAGAAUUUCAAGUGCUGUCCUUUACCCCUUUGUUAACUUAUUCUAAGCAUGAAGACAAGCACUCUUGGAAUGAUCAUUUAAAACAGUCACUGCCCUUUCAUGAUAGCCUCCUCAGACCUUGCCAGCUUGAACAAUAAAUUACAAAUCAUUUUUUUGCUGCUAUUGCUGAGGUAUAGCUUUCAAUAUUAUCACUGAUUUAAGAGUUGAUGUAUUUUGAAAAGUCAGACUAAUAUGGCAGCAUUUCGGAUGAGGCCUCUUUUGUGUGUCUGCUUUAUUCCUUUGUUGGAGUUCCACAUUUUCUUUGUGUGGGACCGAGGAAUCACGGAAAAUUGCCACUUGUGUGAUAAAUUACUGUUUUCACCCAUCAAACAUAGAAAAUGCUCCAUGUGAGCCUUGCACACCAUUAUGUUGUCCCAUCUAGGACCCUUUGAAAGUCAGCAGGGUGCAUCUGGCUGAAAUUCAGUCAGGCGAUUACAUUUAUUCAAGCUUGGUGAACUUGAGAGCUUUCAAAAGGAGAGUAGCUGAAGGGAUGAGAUUAUAGUCCUGACAGGGCUCUGGAAAGGGUGUCUGACACCUGACGGCUCACAGCGAGCCAUGAUACCUGUUCCCAUUGAUUUGCAACAAAGUCUUUCUCAAUAAGGAUUUCCACUUAACAUUUCCUCUCAGGGAACCUGUGCCGUUGAAGAUAUUUACAAGUUGCUUUCAGCUUAAAAAUAAAUCACCUCUAAUUCCUCUAAGCGAAAUCAAUCAAAAACCUGUAAAAAAUGGACUGGUUGUUUGGUCGAUUCUGGCAGAAAAGUAAACAGCACUUCAGCUUUUCUCCGCCAUUAAGGCCUAAAUGGCCUAGAAAGUAAAUCAAUAUUUCUAGUCAGCCUUCUGGCUAUUGUUUAGCCAGUAGAUAUGGAUUUCUCUGGCUUACUGAACUCCUUUGGGACUAGCCUAUAAUCCUCUGAGAGGAAUAAUAAGUUCGUUAUCUAGUUCAGCUCUCUGUUGUACAUUUAAAUGGACUACAUCCAUCAGCAGCCCUUGUUAAAGGGUGAGGGCAUCCCAUUCAACCCCCUUUAGAGUGAAACACUUCCAACACAGUGAGGGGGAAAUUAUAAUUCAAAGUUCUACUGGUUGGCAAAUGACCUAAAAACCCUAAGUGGGGGUGAGGCAGUAAUUUGAGUAUAAGGAGGCAUAUCAUACUGCUGUUUCAAGCUAGGAAAUGCUACUUGCCCAUUUCUGAGUAUACUAUGAUACAUACAUAAGGGUAUUUGCUAGAGAGUCUCUCAUUAUUCCUACUAGUCCUUCUUGAAUGUUUUUAUUUAAAUACUCCUGUGAUUCUGAACAGUAAAAGCUAUCAGAACUUUCCUGAUGUAGCAAACCAACAUGCUUCCACCUCUCCUUGUCAGCAAAUGGAGAAUCUCAUACUUCUACUAAUUUUACUUUAAUAAUUUAAAAAUGACUGUACUAACAGCUUGGCAAUACAGUUUUUGAGGGUUUUAGAAGAUAAGAAUCCUGGAUAAAAGACCAUUCCUUAAAGAAAUUAAUUUCCCCUUGCCUUUCAACUUGAUAAACUAAAAUUCUUCUUUAAAUUCCAUCCAUGUAUUCUGGCUUCAUAUGAAGAAGUGAUAAUGUAGGAAUAAUUUAUUUUGAGCUAUUUUAUACACUUAAUUUUUAUGUUAUUUUGUUGAUUUCUUAAUAAGAGCCACAAAGACAAAAAUAAAUUAUGAUUACUUGAAACUUUCAAAUGUAGGUAUUUAUGGUAUCCAAGACAUUUCUUUAACAAAACAAAAACAAUAGUGUUUCCAAAGGUCCCAGGUGUCUCUUAUUAAGUCUUGGCAUGUAUUUCAUUUAGAGAUUGUUUUCAUAAUUUUUUAAAGUAAAAUUAUCACAACAGAAUUAAUAAAGGGAAAUAUAAUUAUUUAGAUAAAAUAGUCACAAUAGAAUUUAGAAGGUAGAAUUUGUAUGCAACAUAUACUCAUUUAGGAAUGGAAGUUAUUAUAUUAAUGACUAAUAUUGAGCUAGCCUAUGAAGCUGACUUGUUCUGUAGAGAUUUUUGCCGCUGCCUUCUUCAAGGACUCACCUCUUCAAUUUCCAGAAAGUUUGUUUUAGAGAGAAUACUUAAUUAUUUGGAAAUCUUUUAUGGGGAAAAAUUAAAUUCAGUAAAAAUCAACCUAAAAGUUUGUAUUCAAUUUGAUACAUUUGUUAACUACGCUUGCUAGAGGUAUUUUGUGAUUAAAUAAUAACUUUACCGAUUAUUAAUGCCACAUUAAAUUCACUUUUAAGAAUUCAGUUAACAACUGUUUUUGCAUGGAAAUGUAGAAUUUUAUCUAUUUUGGUUUUUGCUGUAUUUUGAAGAAGUCUAUGCUGAGAAUCUGACUGUGACAGAUUUUGCUCCUCAUAAGCCAAGUCAACUUUCUCACUAUCACCUUUCAUAUUCUCCAACUUAUUUGAUGGCUGAUGUUCUUCCCAGGAGGAGAUAAAAAGGUGACUUGAAUGAUAAGGGAGGCCAGACAUGGUGGCUUAUGCCUGUAAUCCCAGAUUUUGAGAGGCUGAGGCAGGUGGAUCGCUUGAGCCCAGGCGAGACCAGCCUAAGCAACAUGGCCGGUCUACAAAAGAAAAAAAAAAAAAAAAAAAGGAAAAA